ACGGAAGGCAGCAGCUAAGAAUAUUCCGCAAUGGACGAAAGUCUGACGGAGCGACGUCGCGUGGAUGAUGAAGGCCGGAAGGUUGUAAAGUCCUUUUAUAACUGAGGAAUAAGUAUUAUCAGAGAAAGGUAGUAUGGUGACUGUAGGUUAUGAAUAAGCAACGGCUAAUUACGUGCCAGCAGCCGCGGUAACACGUAAGUUGCGAGCGUUGUUCGGAAUUAUUGGGCGUAAAGGGCAUGUAGGCGGUUUUGCAAGCUUGGUGUGAAAUCCCGGAGCUCAACUCCGGAAUUGCGUUGAGAACUGCAUAACUAGAGUCACUGAGGGGCGAUCAGAAUUCCAGGUGUAGGGGUGAAAUCUGUAGAUAUCUGGAAGAAUACCAAUGGCGAAGGCAGGUUACCAGCAGAUGACUGACGCUGAGGUGCGAAGGUGCGGGGAGCAAACAGGAUUAGAUACCCUGGUA
rnacentral:rRNA from 1 species